GGGCCUGUUAGCCCACGAAACCCAAGGAAGAAGACACACAAGCAAACCUCGCUCCCGCAUCGUCUUCUUCCCCUCUUCCUCCUCAUGGCGCCUCCCGCCGCCGGCGACACCCCACCUCCACCCCCUCCUCCGGCGGCCGCAGAGGGCGGCGCCAGCACCGAGGAGGAGUCGCGGUGGCUCGCGGCCCUCUCCGAGCCCGAGCUCGAUUUGCUCAUCAGCCUGAAGAUGCUGGCCGUGAAGCGGGCGGAGACGGCCGGCCGCCCCCACCUCGCCGACGCCUUCGAUCUGCGCACCCUGCGUGCCCUUGGUGUCGUUUUGCUGGAAGAUUUCAAACACCGACUAAGAGAAGAAACCUCACUUGAUGCAACCGGUCUUGAUAGACUUGCGCUAUCAAGGGAUGCUGUUACGGAUGUUAGUGUCGGUAGUAGUAGCAGUGAUUCCGAGGUGUUCAGGCGGCGCAGCAAAGAUCAGCCAAUAAAGCCAAGCGGAGUCAAGAGGAAACGAAAGCAGACGCAUGAUGGGUACGUCAUUUGAGAAUCCGAUCAGUUUUGCCGAAGAAGUUUAGUUAAAUUUAGCUCAUACUGAUUGACUCUACAUGGCGUCAUGGAGAGGCUGUCCAAAGUAACAAGAAAAGAAGAAAAACUAGCGAGAGGAGAUGGCGGCGAUCAUAAACCGAUUGUGACGAUUUUCCUAAAGCUAGCGACCUAGUGCAAGCACCACAAAAUGUCGUCGAGCAAGAUAGAUAUGAUACGGAGGCUUGGAGCUGCUGCUCUUGUAAAUUUUGCUUUUACCUUUCCGACUUUUCUUCGCCUGGAGUAACAAGAGGCGAAGAACUCAACUAGCAGAUAUAUAGAUGCCCCUUAUGUUGGUCAAAGUUUUGUUUUUCGCUGAAUGGAUUUAACCAAGCUCACUGAUGAAAGGAACUAUAAAUGUCA